GACAGAGGGUGCAAACGUUGCUCGGAAUUACUGGGCGUAAAGCGCGUGUAGGUGGACUGGUGUGUCAGAUGUGAAAUCCCUGGGCUCAACCCAGGAACUGCACCUGAAACUACCAGCCUUGAGUGGUGGAGAGGGAAGUGGAAUUCCUGGUGUAGAGGUGAAAUUCGUAGAUAUCAGGAGGAACACCAGUGGCGAAGGCGGCUUCCUGGGCACCAACUGACGCUGAGACGCGAAAGCGUGGGGAGCAAACAGG
rnacentral:rRNA from 1 species